GCAGCGAGGUUAGAUAAAAAGCCCCGUCGAAGCGGAGACGCCGCGGCCAAACCCUUUAACUUGGACACACACGCCCCCGCAACCUCUCUCUCUCUCUCUCUCGCUGAAGAGUCAAUACCUGAAGACCCUCCCCCCACCAAAGUGGGAUUUUUAUUUAUAUCAAGGAAAGAGAGAGAAGCAGUGGAUCUCACUCUCACUGCGCUUCCUCGGCUCUCUGCAAUCCCUCCCAAUCCUACAAAACAGAGCUCUGUCCGGAAUCUGCCGCCAUGGGAUCCGGCGAGACGAUAUUCCGGUCGCCACUCGAUAAACCCCUCGACCAGCUCACAGAAGAAGACAUCUCUCAGCUCACCCGGGAAGAUUGCCGGCGCUACCUCAAAGAAAAAGGCAUGCGUCGUCCUUCAUGGAACAAAUCUCAGGCAAUCCAGCAGGUACUGUCACUCAAAUCGCUGCUUGAGGCGAGGACGGAUUCCGGUGCCGUAAUCCGGCAGAAGGUGGCCUCCAAGGCGGCAGCAGAGGAUCCACCACACGUCCCUGUAACUCCCACAGCAUCGGCCAAGGAAACGAGUGCCGAUUUCCAGGUUUCUGUUUCGGCAGAUGAAUCGGUUUCGUAUCGGCGAAAAGACCCCCCGAAACCCGCGGUUCCCGGUGAUGUGUCGUGCCGUCUCCCGGUCGCCGACAAUGACACCAUUUCUCCCAGGAUCACAGGUGUGGCAAAUGAGCCAUCCGAUCAGAUGACUAUUUUUUAUUGUGGCAAGGUGAAUGUCUAUGAUGGAGUGCCUGCUAAUAAGGCACAAGCAAUUAUGCAACUUGCAGCAAGUCCCAUUUGUCUGCCUCAGGAUUCUGCACCUGGUGGAACUGCAUCAACUCAACAAUUUCCUUUCCGUUUCCAGGUGACAUGUGUCAGACCAGAAACCACUUCUUCUGCAGCAAUCUCUCCAUCAUUGCAAAGUGCAAAAAUAGUUGAACAGUCUGGACAGCACCGGGAAGAAGGGGACAUGUCUCGUGAGGCUGAACCUGAGGUUCCAACGAGUAGAAAAGCGUCACUGCAAAGAUACCUUGAGAAGCGCAAAGACAGAGGAAGAUUUAAGGGCCAGAGAAAGAUAGGGGGAUCAUCUUCUAGCUUGGAGAUGUACUUGAACCAUCAAGUGAGGUCUCAGACCCCAAAUGGGCAGUCAAGCCGAAGCGACACAAGCUCACCACCCCAACCCAGACUGCCUCAAACUCCCACCCAAUGUAGUCCGGUUGAGAACCAGGCCCAGAAUGUUGGUCUCUCCGUUGAUCUCAAUGGCAAUGCUUCAAAGAAACUACCAAAACUAGCUUCACCGGAAGUCAAGUUUGCAGCUGAACAAGACUAUUCUGUGUGGGGCCUGCCUUGCAAUAUUGCAAGUCACAGGGCGGAGCCAGGAAAUUUUUAUAAGAGGGGCCAAAACCUAAAUGAAAUAUAGAUGGGCCCAUAAGGGGGGCCAACCAUUGAGGUGGACAAUGGGGGGAGGUGAAAUUUUAGAUAAAAAACUGUAUUGCUAUGAAGAUUUUCUGAACCAUAGGGGGGGGGGGCAUGGCUCCCCUGGGUCCGCCCUUGGCAAGUCACUAUGGGAAAGGCAGAGAAGCCCUGGUUCAAAAUGUUUCCACCCUUUUGUGUUCUUUGGCUGCAAGCAGGGGUAUCUGGCUUACCGGAUGUCCAAGGAGCUGCUGCUUGAGUGUGGUGGCACCAAGUGGAGGCUCUUCGAUCGGAGACAUCGCCAUUGAAAACAACUUUUGGUGAGG